rnacentral:rRNA from 1 species
GAUGAACGCUGGCGGCGUGCUUAACACAUGCAAGUCGAACGGAAAGGCCCAAGCUUGCUUGGGUACUCGAGUGGCGAACGGGUGAGUAACACGUGGGUGAUCUGCCCUGCACUUCGGGAUAAGCCUGGGAAACUGGGUCUAAUACCGGAUAGGACCACUUCUUGGAUGUUGUGGUGGAAAGUUUUUUCGGUGUGGGAUGAGCUCGCGGCCUAUCAGCUUGUUGGUGGGGUAAUGGCCUACCAAGGCGUCGACGGGUAGCCGGCCUGAGAGGGUGUACGGCCACAGUGGGACUGGGAUACGGCCCAGACUCCUACGGGAGGCAGCAGUGGGGAAUAUUGCACAAUGGGCGUAAGCCUGAUGCAGCGACGCCGCGGGGGGGAGGACGGCCUUCGGGUUGUAAACUCCUUUCGCUAGGGACGAAGCGUUUUGUGACGGUACCUGGAGAAGAAGCACCGGCUAACUACGUG